rnacentral:miRNA from 1 species
ACGGGCCACCUUCUCCCCGAGGGGAGAAGGGGAGUUGCGGCGGGCUCCGAUUUUCCCUUCUCCCCUCGGGGAGAAGGUGCCCGUA